AGAUUGAACGCUAGCGGGAUGCUUUACACAUGCAAGUCGAACGGCAGCGCGGACUUCGGUCUGGCGGCGAGUGGCGAACGGGUGAGUAAUAUAUCGGAACGUGCCCAGUAGCGGGGGAUAACUACGCGAAAGCGUGGCUAAUACCGCAUACGCCCUACGGGGGAAAGGGGGGGAUCGCAAGACCUCUCACUAUUGGAGCGGCCGAUAUCAGAUUAGCUAGUUGGUGAGGUAAAGGCUCACCAAGGCGACGAUCUGUAGCUGGUUUGAGAGGACGACCAGCCACACUGGGACUGAGACACGGCCCAGACUCCUACGGGAGGCAGCAGUGGGAAUUUGGACAAUGGGGGAAACCCUGAUCCAGCCAUCCCGCGUGUGCGAUGAAGGCCGUUCGGGUUGUAAAGCACUUUUGGCGAGGGAAGGAAACGCGUGACCCUAAGUACGGACGUCACUGACGUACC
rnacentral:rRNA from 1 species